UCUUCCCGUGUGAGCGAGUCAUAUCACGCAGCGCCCGUGCCAGGUCAGCAGUCUGGAUGGAGCUCGGACGCGGCUGGCUGCGCCAGGCAGUGCCAAGCGCCCCACAGCCCUGUGAGGAUUCCCACGUCCAGAUUCCAUUCUGCAGUCUGGACGAUGCUUUGAAGGCUGCCUCGCUGGGAACCUGCACGCUACUCCGCUGCUUCCCAAACAAGCCAUGCUGAAAGCACAGGACCCUCCUGGCUGAGCCGGCCGGCGCCGUGACAACGGGAGCCCUGCUCAGUCCCCAGGUCUGUGCUUCCCUGUGCCUGACACGUGGGCCCCAGGCCUCAACUUCCUCACUCCCUAAGGGAGCAGCGACUUGAGCUGUCUUGGGCGGCCGAGGAGAAGGUGCCGGUGGCUCGCUGGGGAGGCCCGGCACCCAGCAGACUCGGAGUGCACUUCGGCUUCCAGAAGGUGCCCCUUGAGGAGCUGCAUUCUUUGAUUCUAGUUGAAAAGCAGAGUCCCGGACUUGACCAAGCACGACAAAGGCCCAGUGAUACCAUCUCUCAGUCCACUCAGUGGAGUUAGCUGAAAAACACUGUAUUUAAUUAGCAUCUACUCUCCAACCUUGUAAAUGUGAGCGGAGAGCUACGCCUGACAGCUGACCUGACAGGCCCAGGACGGGAACAUCCCAGGCAACACAGAAGGCAGGGACUGUCUUAAAAAUGUGAAUGAUCCUAUUGCCUCCAAGGAGCCUGGCGGACUCUUUGUGUGCUUCUCUGAAGGCGAGACUGCAUCAUGAGAUUACUCCCAAUUACUCAGCACAGAGGCGAAGACAAUUGGGGCUCUGUAAACACGAGGCCAGGUUGACUGUAAAUGGAGUUUCUUCCAGUUGCUUCCUUGGUGUGUGCAGAUGUGCUGGUGAUGAACGUGCGGAGAGCCUGGAGAAGUCUGGGCGUGCUCCCCAAGCACAGGGCCCUCUGUUGCUGGUCUGCAGGGCCAGGUCCAGUUCUUGCCUACUUGUUUUAUGUGUCUGUUGACUUUCUUCUGUGGAUUUCCGGAUACAGCAGUGCACGAGUGCUUGCAGAAAUGAGCUUCUCCAAAUCAUUCUCAAGAAGCUCAACAUCUUUGUUAAAUGGUCAACUUUUAAAGUCAUCUUAUUAGCAAUAAUCAAUACACAGGUCCCACAAGAAACCACAGAUAUAAUUUUAAAAUUUAUAGUUCUUUAUAAAGACCCUUUAUGGACCUAAGAACUGUGAUUAAACUACCUUAUUUAAUCUUCCAAAUAAUCCUAUGGAUUAGGCAUUCUUCUCACCCAUAUUUUGCUUAUAAACUCGAAAAAAAGUUUGGCAACUUGCCAGUCAAUGGUGAAGCUGGGAUCAAACCCUGUUUGCACGUCUGUCAGCCCUGAGUCUUGGUAGAUAUGCUGUAUGUGGGCCUAUGGACCAGGAAGGGCAUUGGGAGCCCUUGCUAUCCAACUUCUUCAUCUGGACAGAUGGACUUAUGGUGGCGCACACAGCUCACUGAGGCCAUGCCAAGCUUAGAAACCAGAUUUCCUGCUGCCCAAUACAAUGCUCUAACCACAGUGCACUACCAAAGGAAGGCUCUGUGAGGCAGUUCUGUCCGUUUCUAUCUAUUCUUAAUAAAAAGGGGUUUUCCUGUGGAAUUUGCAACACUUGAGGGUUUGGGUGCAGGGCACCCGUUGAAGAGGCCUUCCGCUGCACGGCCUCUGUGGACCUUGGUGGCUUCCCAUCAGAAGGCUGCAGCUGUGGUGACUGCAGGCUGCCGCCAGGUUCCCGAGAGCCUGUUCUUCACAUCUUGCUUCCUGAGCACUGGCAAAGGAUAUCUGAUGCCGGUUCCAGACUGUCAGAUGAGCUGGGAGAGGUGCAGGGUUCUGUUCUGAAGGUGGCCUCUUCUGGACAAGUCCCUGGGGAUCUCAGGAGGACAGAUCCUGAAUUGUCUGUGAGCAGCUGCUUAGUAGGUUUUCAGUCCUACGGAGCACAUUCAUUCUUUCCCCCUCUACUGAGAAGGGAAAGGAUCCUCAGCUUACAGGAAACAGAGACUAGCAAAAUUAGUCGGCAGUGACAAAGGACUGGCAGAAAAUGCAGAAGUUCCAAACAGAGACCUAUUCUAUGGAAAAGGCCCAGAGAAAUUUCGCCUCACCAGGACGGUGCCGUGACUUCCUGACUUCAUCCUCCUGCAGGACGAUGAGAAACAGCUGGUCUGGAAACCCACAGAGUCUCACUGGAGUUUCAGGAUGAAACAUUUCUCGAGUGCAGCUACUCUUAAAAGGUUCAGAGAAGCCAUAUAGGUCUCAACGCACGUAGGUGGGUUCUGCCCCUGCCUCUCUGGCCCUGGAUGCCUGGCCUUACACAAGCUACUUCUGAAUUUGCUCCACCUUUGCUGGCCCUGAAUCAAGAGGAGUCUGCAGGGAUAGUGUGGAGCAGUGGGGGAAGAAUCCUUGCACAACAUGAACGAGGAGAGGUCUCUUCUCUUCCCUGCUCCAAAACCCUUUGCCGUCUGCAGAGAAGCUGUUCCAAUAAGCUGUGGACGCCCACACCCAUGAUUCUGUGUCUGCUGUCUGCUCUGGCAGGAUCUUCCCUGUCUUUCCAGUUUGUCCUAUACUUAUCAAGUGAUAGUCUAGUGGCCGCUCCUUGUUGUCUUCUCAGAGGAUCGGAUCCCAGCUCACUUGGAGCUGACUACACACACCCUCCUGUGUUCCAGUGGCAACCGCUGAGGCCCCUCCUGGAGUGUGCCCCAAGCCACAGGAGGGGUGCCAUCAGGCUCUGCUUCUGGCCAAAUCAACAGUGACUCAGUUCCACUGUCAGGGAGCUGGUCUUGUACACUUGUUGGGUUGAAGGUCACUGAGUCACAGAGAAAUAACCAAGUCUAUGUAGAACAGGUGGGGCUCCCUCAUGCACUAUAAAAUACUUCUUUGUAUAUCCUCCAUUGCUGACACCAGAGCUUAUGGAUCCUGCGAGGACCCUGGGACGCAGCUCAGGCCAAUCCAUGGAGAUCAGAGAUCACACGGGACGGAGCCCUCCUGGUUCCCUGCAGCCAAGCAGCCCACAAGCACUAACCACAUGGACAGUGCCAGGCGGGUCCCUCCAGCCCAGCCUACCGUGCUGCUGCUGCUGCAGAGUGGAGAUGAGAAGGACGGCCACCGAGGACACCAGCGGGAGGAGGAGGAGGCUUGUGUCCCAGCACCCGAGCUUGGCCGUGAUGUGUAGUCAGCAAACACUAGCCAGUAGAGAGAUGACCACUUACGAGCAGGAGACAUGGAGACAUUGAAGUUCCCAUGGAUUCAUUCUGUGAUGAACAAAUUCCUGUUUCUUUAAAUUUGUACCAAAAUAUUGAUUAUAAGCAGAUUUUAAUAAAAUUUAAAAUGAUCCACUGUUUCAUUUUUUCCAGUGGAUUAUAUGUAGUAGUAAAGUCUAUUUCCACAAUGAAGUAGUAGUCUAGGGUUAUUUCCAUAUUACCAAAAGAACAAUAACCAGUAGUGCUACUUAGUAAAUAACAAUAUCACGUGUGUCUGUCAGGGUACACAAUGUAUAGAAUACUCUGACCUACGCUAUUCCAUUUGGCCUAUCUUCAUAGCACACCAGUGGCAUAGGUAGAGCAGGUAUUGUCUGUUGGGUACAUAAGUGAAAUAUUUAAAAAAAUAGGCCAUCUUUUAAAAUCCUAGUGCAUUUUUAUGACUCAAUGGAAAAGCCUGUUGCCUGGGAUCAGAAUUCAGUGAUCCAGCCUCUAGAUCUGAUGCUGACAUGCUUCAUCCCACAUUCUGCACUCUU